GCUUACGGCCAUACCAGCCCAAGAACGCCCGAUCUCGUCUGAUCUCGGAAGCUAAGAAGGCUUGGGCCUGGUUAGUACUUGGAUGGGAGACCUCCUGGAAUACCAGGUGCUGUAAGCU
ensembl:rRNA 5S_rRNA 5S ribosomal RNA